UCCUAAUUAAAUUCUUUUCUCUUAGGCAAACUGACAGGCUGGCUGUUCGUUCCCAGUUCCAAAGAUUCUAUCACCUUAUUAACCAUCUGUAAGAGCAAAAGCGUCUUGACUCUCCCAAGAGGGAAGACAUGGAAGCCGGGAACCUCCAUCACCCGAGGGCUAUUUGGUGGUUUCCCUCUUCUUUCCACACCCCUUUUGGAGGCUGACUCAGGUUCAGUUCUUCUCAAAGGGGUUCAAUGGAACAGCAUGUAGGAGUCCUGUGCAAAGAAGCUUCUAGAUGCAGGACAGAGCACAGCCUCAGGAAGGUCACACGGGUCAAGCUGAUUACCUCCUCCAGCUCUGGCAAGCAGGGGCUCAGCUGGGUUACCGAAGUUCACUGGAGUUAUUGACAUUCAGCUGCAGCUCUCACUUAUUACUGAUCAGCAGGAGACUGUCUGGGCCUCAUGUUAACUCUUCCGUGCCCUGUUUCAAGAUUGCAGUGAGAUCAAAAAAGAAAUUGAACUUCAUUUCAGCUUAUUCCUGGUUGUAUUGAAGAAAUGAACCUUUUAAACCAAUACCUAAUAUACCUCUGACAAGGGAAGGAGUGACCUCAGGGGAGGAUGAUCUGUCUGACCUCUGGUUUCCCAGAAGAUGAUAAUCAUGCUGCAAUUGAAAUUAUGCUUCAAGCAUCCAUGGACCCCUGGCACGGAACCAUUGCUUUGAAAGCCAUCUUCCAACUUGUAUUUGACACUUCUGCUAGAAUAGGGUCUCUUUAUUCCUC